UACAGAGGGUGCAACCGUUGCUCGGAAUUAUUGGGCGUAAAGCGCGUGUAGGCGGCUUGUUAAGUUGGUUGUGAAAACCCAUGGCUCAACCAUGGAAGUGCGUCCAAAACUGGCAAGCUAGAGUUCUGACGAGGAUGGCGGAAUUCCCAGUGUAGAGGUGAAAUUCGUAGAUAUUGGGAGGAACACCGGUGGCGAAGGCGGCCAUCUGGGAAGAUACUGACGCUGAGACGCGAAAGCGUGGGGAGCAAACAGG
rnacentral:rRNA from 1 species